GCGUCGUCAUCGUCGGUGAUCGCGCGGUUGUUGUCGUUGCGCUGUAACGGUUUUUGCAGGCGCUCAGUCUACGCAUUUUAGCGGCCAUUGGCAGUUAAUACACCUCCCCGCCUCGCCAGCUUUUAUGAAACAAACGUGUUAAUAAUAAAUAAAAACAGAUUGCAAAUUUGAAUCCAAUACCAAUUAAGAUACCACAGAAAAGAAAACAACAAACAGACAACAAAAUGUAUGUGCCAUUAUAGAAAGCAGGAAUUUUGGAGCAGUAUCAUAGCUACUAAGUAACGCCCGGAACUAGAAACAUAUAUAUACACACAUAUAUAUAUGGACUUCAGACAAAUGAUAUAUAAACUUACCUUAGAGCAGAGCGCAUAGAAUUAAAGACGUCGCCUUUUUGGGAACUUCAUAUAACUAUAUAAAGCAACUCAAAACCUCCCACACACACACAUACACAAUGGGCAAAGAUUACUAUAAGACUUUAGGCCUAACAAAAACUGCCACCGAUGAUGAGAUCAAAAAGGCCUACAGAAAACUGGCGUUACGUUAUCAUCCCGAUAAGAAUAAAGCCGCAAAUGCUGAGGAGAAAUUUAAAGAGGUCGCCGAGGCAUACGAAGUGCUCUCGGAUAAGAGCAAGCGCGACAUUUACGAUAAAUAUGGCGAGGAUGGACUGAAGAGUGGCGGUGCUCGCAAUGGCGGCGGCAGUGGCAAAAAUACAUUUACAUAUCAGUUCCAUGGUGAUCCGCGGGCCACAUUUACACAGUUCUUUGGCAACAGUAAUCCGUUUGCCUCGUUCUUUGAUAUGGGCGACAAUCUGUUUGAUAAGAAUGUUUUCGAUUUGGAUACGGAACCCGAUUUCUUCUCAUCGCCAUUUGGCGGCUUGGGCUCUAGGCAUGGCCUAGGCAGCGCCUUCAGGCCCUCUUUUAGAUCACACUCCUUCAAUGUGCACACCCCCUUCAAAAAGGAACAGAAACAGGAUCCACCCGUCGAGCAUGAUCUCUAUGUCACGCUGGAGGAAAUCUAUCAUGGCUGUGUUAAGAAAAUGAAAAUCUCACGUCGUGUUGUCCAGCCCGAUGGCAGCUCCAAGAAGGAGGACAAAGUCCUGCAAAUAUCUAUUAAACCCGGCUGGAAAUCGGGCACCAAAGUCACGUUCCAGAAGGAGGGCGAUCAGGCGCCCGGCAAAAUACCAGCGGAUAUUGUGUUCAUCAUUCGGGACAAGCCACAUGCCAUGUUCAAGCGCGAGGGCAGCGAUUUGCGGUACACGGCGAGGCUGACGCUCAAGCAGGCGCUCUGCGGCGUUGUUUUUCAAGUUCCUACAAUGUCCGGCGAUAAACUGCGCAUCAGCACCAUGCAGGAGAUCAUCAAGCCGAACACUGUGAAACGCAUCCAGGGCUAUGGAUUACCCUUUCCCAAGGAUACCACGCGCAAGGGCGAUCUAUUGGUGGCCUUCGAUAUACAAUUUCCGGAGAAAUUGACUGCCGCGCAAAAAGAAGUGCUCAGAGACAUGUUAUGAAGAUAGAGAGAAAUAAUAAAUGCCGCCUUAACCACGACAACGACUCACUCACAACCCGGCAACAGCUCAGUCUAUCCAGUCUUCUUCUACUACGUAUAAUAAAAACAAACAUGUGAAACACAAGUGAAUCGCUUAAAAACUCUUGCUGCAUAUCUCUUAUAUGGAUUCAAGUCGCAAAUAUAAUGAAAUUCUUAUAAGACAAUUAUCCAUAAAUAAGUUUCUUCACAUCAGCAUUUAACUUAAAAGCGGCCUGGUUUCAAACAGAAGUCAUCCAUCAAGACAUUUUCCGUUCUUUUUAUCUUGAGCAAAUGCACUUUUUAUGCUCCUGAUAUAACAAAAAAGAUGGGUUUCAUCUAAUUUCGUUACAAAGGA